UACGAAGGGGGCUAGCGUUGUUCGGAAUUACUGGGCGUAAAGCGCGCGCAGGCGGCCAUUCAAGUCAGGGGUGAAAGCCCAGAGCUCAACUCUGGAACUGCCCUUGAAACUGUAUGGCUUGAGUAUGAGAGAGGUGAGUGGAAUUCCCAGUGUAGAGGUGAAAUGCGCAGAUAUCAGGAGGAACACCAAUGGCGAAGGCAACUCGCUGGGACGGAACUGACGCUGAGGCGCGAAAGCGUGGGGAGCAAACAGG
rnacentral:rRNA from 1 species